rnacentral:rRNA from 1 species
GCUCUACGGGGUGCAGCAGGCGCGAAAACUUUACAAUGCUGGGAACAGCGAUAAGGGAACCUCGAGUGCCAGGUUACAAAUCUGGCUGUCGUGAUGCCUAAAAAGCAUUAUAUAGCAAGGGCCGGGCAAGACCGGUGCCAGCCGCCGCGGUAACACCGGCGGCUCGAGUGGUAACCGUUAUUAUUGGGUCUAAAGGGUCUGUAGCCGGCCGGAUAAGUCUCUUGGGAAAUCUGGCAGCUCAACUGUCAGGCUUUCAGGGGAUACUGUCUGGCUCGAGGCCGGGAGAGGUGAGAGGUACUUCAGGGGUAGGGGUGAAAUCUUGUAAUCCUUGAAGGACCACCAGUGGCGAAGGCGUCUCACCAGAACGGACCUGACGGCAAGGGACGAAAGCUAGGGGCACGAACCGGAUUAGAUACCCGGGUAGUCCUAGCCGUAAACGAUACUCGCUAGGUGUCGGCCACGGUGCGACCGUUGUCGGUGCCGUAGGGAAGCCGUGAAGCGAGCCACCUGGGAAGUACGGCCGCAAGGCUGAAACUUAAAGGAAUUGGCGGGGGAGCACCACAACGGGUGGAGCUUGCGGUUUAAUUGGAUUCAACGCCGGAAAUCUUAC